rnacentral:rRNA from 1 species
CUACGGAGGGUGCAAGCGUUAAUCGGAAUUACUGGGCGUAAAGCGCGCGUAGGUGGUUAUGUCAGUCGGGUGUGAAAGCCCCGGGCUCAACCUGGGAACUGCAUCCGAUACUGCAUGGCUAGAGUCUGGUAGAGGGAAGUGGAAUUCCACAUGUAGCGGUGAAAUGCGUAGAUAUGUGGAGGAACACCAAUGGCGAAGGCAGCUUCCUGGACCAAGACUGACACUGAGGUGCGAAAGCGUGGGGAGCAAACAGGAUUAGAAACCCCGGUAGUCC